ACAGAUCUCACCGAAGCCGUUGCUGCUGCUCUCCUCAGACUGCACCCCGACAAGCUGCAGGUCCUCGGUGACUGCUGGUCCUCAUUGAAGCCAUCUGUCAUGACCAAGCACAUUGGGGUGUGGAAGAAGGCCCUGUCGGGGAUUCUGAGGAGUGGACAUAUUCUACGCACUCGUGACCCUGGGAUCAAACACCUGCUCCAGGUCCUCGGCCAUCUCCACAGAGCAAACCAGAAAUCUGUAGAGACCCAGACAGUUCCAGACAGUACCUUUUGUAUGGAGGAGGUUCACUUCAAUCCCAUAUUUCUAGAGGAGGAUGUAAAGCUUUGGCGUUCAUGGUC